rnacentral:rRNA from 1 species
AACGAACGCUGGCGGCAGGCUUAACACAUGCAAGUCGAACGCACCGCAAGGUGAGUGGCAGACGGGUGAGUAACACGUGGGGAUCUGCCCAAUGGUACGGAAUAGCUCCGGGAAACUGGAAUUAAUACCGUAUGAGCCCGCAAGGGGAAAGAUUUAUCGCCAUUGAAUGAACCCGCGUCGGAUUGGCUAGUUGGUGUGGUAAAGGCGCACCAAGGCGACGAUCCGUAGCUGGUCUGAGAGGAUGAUCAGCCACCCUGGGACUGAGACACGGCCCAGACUCCUACGGGAGGCAGCAGUGGGGAAUAUUGGACAAUGGGCGCAAGCCUGAUCCAGCCAUGCCGCGUGAGUGAUGAGGGCCUUAGGGUUGUAAAGCUCUUUCGCCGACGAAGAUAAUGACGGUAGUCGGAGAAGAAGCCCCGGCUAACUUCGUGCCAGCCGCCGCAGUAAUAC